GACGAACGCUGGCGGCGUGCCUAAUACAUGCAAGUAGAACGCUGAAGAGAGGAGCUUGCUCUUCUUGGAUGAGUUGCGAACGGGUGAGUAACGCGUAGGUAACCUGCCUGGUAGCGGGGGAUAACUAUUGGAAACGAUAGCUGAUACCGCAUAAAAUUGAUUAUUGCAUGAUAAUUAAUUGAAAGAUGCAACUGCAUCACUACCAGAUGGACCUGCGUUGUAUUAGCUAGUUGGUGAGGUAACGGCUCACCAAGGCGACGAUACAUAGCCGACCUGAGAGGGUGAUCGGCCACACUGGGACUGAGACACGGCCCAGACGCCUACGGGAGGCAGCAGUAGGGAAUCUUCGGCAAUGGGGGGAACCCUGACCGAGCAACGCCGCGUGAGUGAAGAAGGUUUUCGGAUCGUAAAGCUCUGUUGUAAGAGAAGAACGGGUGUGAGAGUGGAAAGUUCACACUGUGACGGUAUCUUACCAGAAAGGGACGGCUAACUACGUG
rnacentral:rRNA from 1 species